CGCGCGAUCACUGAAUGUUAUCUUUAGGGUCUAGUUUCUUUCAUUGUCAAAGCGCGCUAUGAAAGAGUUCACAACGGCUUGUUGAGCUUCCAAUUGAGCUUUCAUUUGAGCUAAUUCUUUCUCUUGCCGUAUUCGUUGC